GUCUUUUUGAUAAUAAUUUAAAGUCUCGCCUGCCCACUGAUUAAUUAAAUGGCCGCGGUAUUUUGACCGUGCAAAGGUAGCAUAAUCAUUAGUUUUUUAAUUGAAAGCUGGAAUGAAUGGUUGGAUAAGAAAAAUACUGUCUCAAGUUAAUUUUAUUUGAAUUUUAUUUUUAAGUUAAAAAGCUUAAAUAAUUUUAAAAGACGAGAAGACCCUAUAGAGUUUUAUAAUAACAAUUUAUUUUUAUUUUAAGAAUUUUUUAUAAAAUUUUAUUUUUAUUAUUUGAUUGGGGUGAUUGAAAAAUUAAAAAAACUUUUUUUAUAUUUAAACAUUAAUUUAUGAAUAAAUGAGCCAUUAAUUGAUUAAAAGAAUAAAUUACCUUAGGGAUAACAGCGUAAUUUUUUCAAAGAGUUCAAAUCGAAGAAAAAGAUUGCGACCUCGAUGUUGGAUUAAAGUAUAUAUUUGGUGUAGAAGCUAAAAUAUUGGGUCUGUUCGACCUUUAAAACUUUACA
rnacentral:rRNA from 1 species